rnacentral:rRNA from 1 species
AACAUGCAAGUCGAACGGUAGCGGGCCUUCGGGUGCCGACGAGUGGCGAACGGGUGAGUAAUGUAUCGGAACGUACCAUUGAGUGGGGGAUAACGUAGCGAAAGUUACGCUAAUACCGCAUAUUCUCUCCGGAGGAAAGCAGGGGACCGCAAGGCCUUGCGCUCUUUGAGCGGCCGAUAUCAGAUUAGCUAGUUGGUGAGGUAAAGGCUCACCAAGGCGACGAUCUGUAGCGGGUCUGAGAGGAUGAUCCGCCACACUGGAACUGAGACACGGUCCAGACUCCUACGGGAGGCAGCAGUGGGGAAUUUUGGACAAUGGGGGCAACCCUGAUCCAGCCAUGCCGCGUGAGUGAAGAAGGCCUUCGGGUUGUAAAGCUCUUUCGGCCGGGAAGAAAUCGCACGGGUUAAUACCCUGUGCGGAUGACGGUACCGGCAUAAGAAGCACCGGCUAACUACGUGCCAGCAGCCGCGGUAAUACGUAGGGUGCGAGCGUUAAUCGGAAUUACUGGGCGUAAAGCGUGCGCAGGCGGUUUUGUAAGACAGGCGUGAAAUCCCCGGGCUCAACCUGGGAACUGCGCUUGUGACUGCAAGGCUAGAGUACGGCAGAGGGGGGGUGGAAUUCCACGUGUAGCAGUGAAAUGCGUAGAGAUGUGGAGGAACACCAAUGGCGAAGGCAGCCCCCUGGGUCGAUACUGACGCUCAUGCACGAAAGCGUGGGUAGCAAACAGGAUUAGAUACCCUGGUAGUCCACGCCCUAAACGAUGUCAACUAGGUGUUGGUGGAUAAAACCAUUUAGUACCGGAGCUAACGCGUGAAGUGACCGCC